GAUGAACGCUAGCGGCAGGCUUAAUACAUGCAAGUCGUGGGGCAGCAGGUUUGUAGCAAUACAGAUGCUGGCGACCGGCAAACGGGUGCGGAACACGUACAGAACCUUCCUUUGAGCGGGGAAUAGCCCAGAGAAAUUUGGAUUAAUACCCCAUAGUAUAAUGAAGUGGCAUCACUUUAUUAUUAAAGAUUUAUCACUCGAAGAUGGCUGUGCGGCUGAUUAGGUAGUUGGCGGGGUAAAGGCCCACCAAGCCUGCGAUCAGUAACUGGUGUGAGAGCACGACCAGUCACACGGGCACUGAGACACGGGCCCGACUCCUACGGGAGGCAGCAGUAAGGAAUACUGGUCAAUGGAGGCAACUCUGAACCAGCCAUGCCGCGUGGAGGAUGAAGGUCCUCUGGAUUGUAAACUUCUUUUAUAUGGGACGAAAAAAGGCUUUUCUAAGUCGUCUGACGGUACCAUAUGAAUAAGCACCGGCUAACUCCGUGCCAGCAGCCG
rnacentral:rRNA from 1 species